AAGGCUAUUAAGGAUACGAACAGACCAGAGGCAACGAUUCUGCUGACAAGAAAAUUAGCGUUUGCUUGUCUGAAUGCAGUGAGAGGAGGUUGUGCGUGUCGGGGUCUCUCGCUGCCACGUGGUUUAAAGUGAUAGUGAACUGGACUCAAGAUGGCAAGAUAUACGAACAAGUUGGGCAGCGUCGCCUGUUAAAGCAAUGGUGCCAAUCAGAUACGUGCAGAUUGCCAAAACAGAAAAGAACUGGACGUUUAGGAGAUGGAAUCUGCCGCAUAAGAGUACCAGAAAAAUAAGGGAAGCGGCAAGAAGCCAUCACGCCUACACAUGGCAGUUCCUGCAUGAAAUAUAUCUACCAAUUUCCACCUUUCAUCCUCAUCACAAUAAUUUAUUAAAGAUGAGUGGAGACGUGGUGUUUUAUUAUAAUAACACCUUACCUUUCAGGUGCUAAUCUCAUUAUCUCUCAGGUGCUAAUUUCAUUACCUUUCAGGUACUAAUCAAGUUACCUUUCAGGUGCUAAUCUCGUUACCUUCAGGUACUAAUCACGUUACCGUUCAGGUGCUUAUCUCAUUAUCUUUCAGGUGCUAAUCUCAUUACCUUUCAGCUGCUAAUCUCAUUACCUUUCAGGUGAUAAAGUCGUUACCUUCCAGGUGUUAAUCCCGUUAUUUUUCAGGUGCUAAUCUCAUUACCUUUCAGGUGCUUAUCUCAUUACCUUUCAGGUGCUAAUCUCAUUGUCUUUCAGCUGCUAAUCUCAUUACCUUUCCGGUGCUAAUCUCAUUACCUUUCAGGUGCUAAUCUCAUUACCUUUCAGGUGCUAAUCUAAUUAUCUUUCAGGUGCUAAUCUCAUUACCUUUCAGGUGCUAAUCUCAUUACCUUACAGGUGCUAAUCCCAUUAUUUUUCAGGUAGUAAUCUCAUUGUCUUUCAGGUGCUAAUCUCAUUACUUGGUACUUUUCAAGUGCUAAUAUCAGUACCUUUUGGGUACUAAUCUCAAAAAUAGGCUUUGCCAAAGUAAACAUAUAGUGGGAGGAUGGUCAUUGUAGACCAGCAUCCAUUUGUGAUCAUCUUGGCCUGAUCAGCAGAAUCUGAGUUGUCAAUGAGUGCUGUCAGUAGUUCAGUUUCCAGCCACUCCCUCUCAUGGCCUAAUACUUUACACAAGUUUCUCAGUGUUUCAGUACAUGAGGUGUUAUAAGAUGAGCAAAACUCAGGCAACAAUAAGCAGCUGGCCAAUGUGAUCACCCCACUCCCUUGAGAGGGACCUGAACCCAUGCUUUUUUUCACCAGCAGAACACUGUCCAAGUGUGUCCAAGUGUGGAUUCUGUAAUAUACAUAUACCUGUCUAGCAGGCUGACAUCUGCAUAAAGGGAAGGCAGCAAAGAUGAGGCAUCUAAUCCAGAGUGCUGGCAAAAGUGAAUUGUCUGCUCACGAUGCAUACUUGU